rnacentral:rRNA from 1 species
AUUGAACGCUGGCGGCCGGCUUAACACAUGCAAGUCGAGCGGGGGAAGGUAGCUUGCUACCGGACCUAGCGGCGGACGGGUGAGUAAUGCUUAGGAGUCUGCCUAUUAGUGGGGGACAACAUCUCGAAAGGGAUGCUAAUACCGCAUACGUCCUACGGGAGAAAGCAGGGGAUCUUCGGACCUUGCGCUAAUAGAUGAGCCUAAGUCGGAUUAGCUAGUUGGUGGGGUAAAGGCCUACCAAGGCGACGAUCUGUAGCGGGGCUGAGAGGAUGAGCCGCAACACUGGAACUGAGACACGGCCCAGACUCCUACGGGAGGCAGCAGUGGGGAAUAUUGGACAAUGGGGGGAACCCUGAUCCAGCCAUGCCGCGUGUGUGAAGAAGGCCUUAUGGUUGUAAAGCACUUUAAGCGAGGAGAAGGCUACUUUAGUUAAUACCUAGAGAUAGUGGACGUUACUCGCAGAAUAAGCACCGGCUAACUCUGUGCCAGCAGCCGCCGUAAAAC